UGGCUCAGUCAGUAGAGCACAUGACUUUUGAUCUUGGGGCUGUGAGUUCAAGCCUCAC
rnacentral:tRNA from 1 species